GGACAUGAGUUGAGAAUUUCGUUGGGUCAAGUGUCAACGCAUGAAAAUGUUGUCGCGAUUUUAAUUGUUUUUCUCCGAUUCAGAAAACUCGGAAGAUUAGAAACUUUAUAGCAGAUGGCUAUACAGAAUGCCGUGAAAACGAAAUGACCGUGUACAAACUAAGAUGAUACUAUUCCCAUAUUCUACGUACUGCUCUCUACCUUAUUUUCUUGUCAAGGUAGUGACAACUUGAUCUUGUUGAGCUUAACCAUGAUAGUUUUCAUGUCCAUUCUUUCCUCAGGCAAGUCCUUUGAGCAUUCUAAUCCUAACUCUAGGAUCGAUAAAACUAUACUCCCGAGUUCCAGAGGCGUCAAAUCUUCAUGUUUCAUGCUAUUGAAAAGUUUCGGAGGAAUCGAGCCUGUGAGAUUGGCCGAGGACAAACCAAUGAACUGCAAUGUGGAUAUAUUGCCCAGGAAGCUCGGAAUUUGACCAUGUAAGGGGUUGAGGUCAAGAUAUAGUAGUUGCAACUUAGGGAAGGCGCCGAAUUCUCUCGGUAUACCACCCAUUAGCCUGUUCACUGUGAGUGAAAUGAAUUCGAGAUUUUGGCACUGGGCUAAGUUAGGAGGAAUGUUUCCUUCAAACUGGUUUAUUUCGAGUAUGAGUUCUUUCAAGCGGCGUAAAUGACCGAUUUCUAUUGGAAUUCUCCCGUAGAAACUGUUGUUGCUAAGAUCAAGAGAAGCUAGGAAAGAAAUAUUGCCUAGGAACGGAGAGAGCCUCCCCUGGAGACCCAUGUACAAGAGGUUUAAAGUUGUGACUCUCUGCCUGCAGUUGCUGCAAAUGACGCCAAUCCAUUCACAGAAAUUUGCUUCGGUGGUCCAAUUGCCGCCUUUGAUCGUGUUUGUUGGGUCGGUGUCGAUUGCCGAUUUGAAGUGGAGAAGAGCCACUUGAUCAGUGAAGUUGCUAGAACAAAUGACGGGCUGAAACAUUGAUAGGGAAGCCAACAUAACAUCAAGAAAUGCUAUGAAGAUGAACUUCUCCAUAAUGAACAAUGUAUAUUUUGAGUGCAUCAAUAGAAGGUUAGCUAAUUAGGACCUGUUCUCAGUAUUUAAUAUAAAAAAGAACCAAAUGAUUGUCUCAAUUUAAAUAAAUAAAUAAAUUGUAAAGAAACACUAACUACCAAACGAUGCCCCCACAUGGGGUCUCUAUGGAAAAACAGUAGGUUGCUAUUCAAUGUGAGGGACCUGACAAACUAUAUGAUCCACAUUUCAGAUAUACUCAUAAAUUGAAAAUUUGUUUUGAGUGUAAAAGCUCUAUUACGAUAAUCCCAACUCAUUGGCUCUUUAGGCUAUGUUUGGUCAUCCAAAUUUCUAAUCGGGAUAGGAUAGGAUAUGAAAGCCUAUGAUUUUUUAAUAUCCUGUCCAUUAUUUGAUAAAUCACAAUAUCACGGUAAGAUAUGUUUACAUCAUAUCAUAUGCAUUUUUUUUAUAUAAACGACAUGUCAUUAUAAAUGAACUUAAAUGUUCAUAAACGGAUAUUGUGAAAAUCUCUCGUAACAAUAUUCCUUAAUUUAUUAUUAUUUUUAUUUUUCCUCUUUUUAUAUUAUUUUUUAUAUUAUUUUUUAUAUUAUUUCUUUUUUUUCCCUUUUCAUCAUUCUUUAAUAAAAUUUUAUCAAAUAGUAAACUAUACUAACAUACCUAAAAUAAAAAAAUACCUAAAAUAUAUAAUAAAUAUAAAUAUUUAAUUUAUAGAUUGAAUGUUUAUUAUAAGAUAGAAUUAUAGUUGAAUAUAUAAAUUAAAAUAGGAUUAAUUCAAAGUGAUUUUUUAAAUUUCUUAAAUUAUAUUUCAAAUAAUCAUUUUUAUUUUUUCAAUUUUUAAUUUCUUAAAUUAUAAUUCAAAUAUUAUUUAUUUUGAAAUAUAAUUUCAAUUUUAUUAAUUUAAUAAGUUUAUUAUUCGAGAAAAAUAACUUUCCUAAUAUGGACAUUAAAAAUCCUAUCCACCUUUAUCCCACCUCUCCCAUGAGAUAAUUUUAUCCUGUCUAUAUCUCCUUUAUAUCUGACUUUAUCCUGUCCUGAGUGAGCACCAAACGUAGAAUAUGAUAAAUCAUAUCCUAUCUCGAAUUUUAUCCCGACUGCCAAACACAGCCUUAAUAUUUAAAAGGAUGCUAUUCACAAUACCCUACAAAUUAACCCAAACCAUAAUCACGUAGUGAGAUCUUCCGUGAACGAGGGGAAGUUGGAGAACCCCUCAAUCACGUUUAAUUUAGUAGCCCGUUCUUUAUGUUUACAUGUACACAAUUAUUUGCAACUCUAGGAGGGUAUAAAUGGACCUUUGACUAAUGCUCCAAGGCACGAAUGUGAAAAGGUUUUGUGAUGAAUGCCGUAACCUUCCCAUAGGGAGUGAUUGGAAGUUAAAUUGCUGGAAGAGAUAAUGAUACUAGUAGUCUAUCAACUUUUCAUCCGCGUGUCUUGUCAUAUUUGAAUUUUUAAUCGAUUUAAUUAAAUCACUUUUAAUUAAUGUGAAAUGUUGUGCCACAAGUUUCAUUUAGUGUAAUUAGAUCCUAAUGUAUUUGAUAUGUUUAUUGUCAUCCUUUCAUUAAUUAAUUUAAAUGAAAGGCAUCAUGGACACCAAUUUUAUAAAGUUGGUGUUUGAUGGAGAAAAUUACGUGAGUUUUGUGCGUGUCAUGUGGACUCUCUUCAACAACGAUUUUAGGCUUCUCGUCCAAAAAGGAUAAGGACAAUGACUUUGAAAUCUCUACCAUUAAAAUCCGUGGAAAACUUCACUACUUUCUUUUGAAUCAUAGUGAAAAAUCCUCCCGCAUUCUCCAUUUGAUAUGAUUUCGAGUGAGAGCUUGUAGAAGAAUAAGACCACAAUAAUUUAUAGAAAGUAAGGGGUUUUGUCAUGGUUUGGAAUCUUAGCUGGUAGGCAAUGUCAAUUUUCUUUUUCUCCUUAAACCCGACAUUUCAAUGCCUAAUACUGAUGAAUCUGGACAAUUUGCGAUGCAUUAAUAUUUUGAUAACUACGGCUUCCUCGGUUACCAAUUACUAUACCAUAGUACCUGCAUCAUCAUCCUCUAUAUGUGAUUGAUUCUAAUAUCCAUAAGCACUUUAAUUGAUAAUUCUGUCAGACCCCCAUUUCUCUGAAAUCUACUCGAGAGUCCAUUGAUUGAUGAAAAUGUUUCUCGAGAGAAUCGAGUGAUAAAUCCAGUGUCUUGCAACUAACAAGACGCAAGCAGAUUUGCUCAUUCAAUGGAGGGGCGAGGAUGAGGGGGACUGCGAGAAGUUGCCUUUCAGGGAAGUUGAUAAUCUCUAGUGUGAUUGCAAAUGAGAGGAACCACAGGCUUGGCCGUCAUUAUAUUCAUGAAUCUCUGGUCUGCAAAAGUAAGGUAGACUACUAUACCUUAGUUGGAUUUCUAAUCGAUCCAUAAAGUAUUGGUGGCGUCUCAAGGGUAGGUUUACUUGCAAGUUCAAUCAAGAACUCAAGUUGUUGAAUGGGCUUGGGAGGGCUCAGGUUAAAUGCAAGCGUUGCCUUGUAAGAGGGUCUAUCAUUCCUGCUCAGCAAUUCACCUCAAGAAAGGUUGCAACACCUAAGUGUAAAAGGCUCUCCAUAGUAGCAAAUUUCCUACUAUGCAUAAAGGGAUGCAAGAAGCUUAGCUAGGAGGCAAAGUCAAUUAUAUUUUUCUCCUUAAACCUGACAUUUCAAUGCCCAAGACUAAUGAAUGGGUACAUCGUGUGACGCAUUAGUAUUUUAACAAUUUUAGACGGUCUUCCAAUUAGUUCGGUGUAUGUUCUAGAAUUUGUGUGCAUCUUUGUUCAUCUUUGAUUGUUGUGUGGAUGUGAUGCAAUGGAGCAUGUACCAAAUAGUCUAAUAAUCAAGACUUUUAUUUCUUUUAACCUAGCUAGGUUCGCAUUCUCGAUUUUAUCCACAACAUUGACGUGUCUAUUGAGAUGUGCACAUUAUUGAUUGAUCUAAAGUAUAUCGUUAAUCACAAUAUGGAUCAAUGAUUCUAGAGUGCAUUGCUCGUUAGUAACGAAUAGAAAUAAUGUAAGCUUUUGGAGACUAGGUACCAUAUUUGUUUUUUUAUUUUCCUUGAAGCACCUGUCUCGUUUGGUGCUUGGAUUAGAUUUUGGGUCGAUGUCCUUGUCAACUUAGCCAGCGAAACUUUCAAUUCACUAGAACUUGUGGUUGCUGAGUUAGAUUUUGACUAAACAUGUAGUAUUUUCAUGGAAUUAUGCGGGCACUCCAGCAUAAUAAGUUUAAAACACGGAAGACAAGGAUGCGUAAAUUUCCUGGUUGGGUUGGGUUGAAUAUUUAGAUCCAAAUGGAGGAACUUACCCGCUAAAACCAUUAUGGGGGUGUUGUCAACUCAUAAAGUUUAAACCUAUAUUAAGAAGUGAAAUAAAAGGUUGCCACAGAGGCUUUGAGUGCUAUUGGGGCAAGUUUCGACAUUCUCCAUAGAAAAGACUUGAUUUUACUCUUUGAAAAGAUUGAUGACUCAAUUGGGUCAUAAAGUAACUAGGACUCAAUUGUAUUAUGUGCAAAGAUUUAAGAUUUCUGGUGCACUUUGGUUGCUAUGUUGGUGUAGGUAGGGGGAUUUUUUCUAUACAAAUUGGCUUGAAAGAGAGGAAGUGGGAUGAUUUUACCAAAUAAGUUCAUGUUUAAUUUGAAUAUAGGUCAUUGCGAUUGAACUAUAAAUCAUUAAAGGAAAUUUUGAGGCUUAUAUCAUCAUUUAGCUGAAUUUUUUUGCCAAAAUAACACGAGUCUAUUUUUCAAGUUCUUCUUUUCUUUUAAACAUUGUAUGAGUAAGAAUUGGUCAAGAAGAAAGUCACGGACCAUCUUUUCUUUUACCUUUUUCUUUUUCUUUCUUUGAAGAGCAACUUUUUACCUUUUUCUUUCUUUCUGCCACAUAGAGUGAUAUAAAGUCAUUGACCAUGGUUGAACCUCAAUCAUUUGGACCAAUUUAUGCGAAAGUGUCAAUCCUAAAAUUUAUCACUCAUUUGAAAACCCGAUAUGAUGGUACAUGGGGAUUGUGUUGGACAUACUAGUAAUAUUUCUUGUUUUGCAUGUGAAGGUAUCAUCUGUCCAUGCAAUAUAUACAAGAGUUUGGAAACGAAAGCUUAUUACUGCCCCCACCGAUGACUUUAACUGGGAGCCAUGUUCGUUAUUUUUGAAAACGAUGUCUUAUUCGAUAUGUGUAGCACGAAGCAAUUAACGUUCUUCAUGGGAAGUAAUUGAAGCACCGUAUUUGUUCUGCCAUGACAUCAGUUAUACCAUAUUUAUGAUAUUUGUCUCUUAUUUUCCUCAAAGCACUUGUCUCCUUUGGUGAUUGGAUGAAGUUAUGGGUCGAUGUCCUUGCAACUUGGCCAGCGUAACUUUCAAUCUAGUACUUGUGGUCACUGAGUUAGAUUUGACUAAAUAUGUAUUCUUUUCAUGGAAUUAUGAAAUUUGACAAGCACUCCAGCAUAGUAACCUUAAUUCACGGAAGAAAAGGAUGCGUAAAUUUCCUGGUUGGGUUGUAUGUUCAGGUCCAAAUGGAGGAACUUGCCUACUAAAACCAUUAUGUGGGUGGUCAUCAAGUCGUAAAGUCUAAACCUAUAUUAAGAAGUGAAAGUAAAGGUUCCGCAUAGCCUUUAAGUGCUAUUUGAGCAAGUCUCUACAUUCUCCAUGGAAAAUGACCUGAUUUUACUCUUUGCAAAGGAUGACGACUCAAUCGGGUCAUCAAGUAAUUAGGACUCAUAUGCAUUCUAUGCAAAGAUUUAUGAUUUCUAGUGCACUUUUGCUACUAUGUUGGUAUAGAGGGAUUUUUCAAAUUAUGUACUUAAAAUACCUUAAGAUUUCUAGAUAGAUUAGCUUGGAAAAGAGGAGGAAGGAUGAUUUUACCAAAUAAUUAUUUUUUAACUUGAAUGUAAGUCUUUGCGGUUGUAUUAUAAAUUAGUCUACCUUUUAGGUUCUUCUUUUCUUUUAAAUAUGGCAAGAGUGAGAAUUGGGCAAGUAGAAAGCCACUAACCAUCUUUUUUUUCUUUCGGGGUUUCUUUCUAGAGCAACUUUUUACUUUUGUUUCUAUUUGCCACAUUAGGUGAUAUAAAGUCAUUGACCAUGGUUGAACCUCAAUCAUCCAAACCAAUUCACAUGAAAGAGUAAGAAUUGGGCAAGAAGAAAGCCAUUAACCAUCUUUUCUUUCUUUUGGAGUUUCUUUCUAGAAAUACUUUUUACUUUUUGUCUAUUUGCGACAUAGAGUGAUCCAAAGUCAUUGAUCAUGGUUGAACCUUAAUCAUCCGAACCAAUUCAUGCGAAAGAGUACGAAUUGGGCAAGAAGAAAGCCACUAACUAUCUUUUCUUUCUUUUGGAGUUUAUUUUUAGAGCUACUGUUUACUUUUUUCUUUUCUUUUUGCCACAUUGAGUGACAUAAAGUCAUUGAACAUGGUUGAACCUCAAUCAUCCAAACCAAUUCAUACAAAAGAGUAAGAAUCGGAUAAGAAGAAAGCCACUAACCAUCUUUUCUUUCUUUUGGAUUUUUUUUAGAACAACUUUUUAGUUUUUUUUUUCUUUUUGCCACACACGAUGAUAUAAAGUCAUUGACCGUGGUUGAACCUCAAUCAUUCGGACCAAUUCAUAGGAAAGAGUCAAUCUUGAAAUUUAUCGUUCAAUGCCUUAACACUAGAGAUUUCACUAAAUAUCUUGAUCUAUUGGAAACCUUUCUGCGAUGAUAUAAAGUACAUGCAGAUUUUGUUGGACAUUAAUAAUUCUCAUUUGUCCAAAAAAAAGAAGGGAAAAUUAACAAAUCCUAAAACAGAAACAAACAAACCCUAGGUUUUCUACAGUCUCUCCGUUCCUUGUACCCAUCCUUUGCAAAGUCAAAGAACGAAGUUCUCCCAUUCUUUGUAUCCAUCCCUGCAAAGUCGAAGACCCAAAUUUUCCGCCGGUUGAGGCACAAAUUCAAAAACAAGAAGAAAACCGUAUGCUUUCUUUGUUUGUUUGCGGAGACCAAAAUUCUCCACCAGUUGAGCAAGACGAGGAGCGCCGAGAAUCUAGUUGCGAUGAUGACCGGACAACGAUUUGGUUGAGGAGCAACGUAGGAGAAAGAAGAAAACGUAAACUUAAUUAAUUGAGAUUUUUUCCUUCUUUUUUUUUCCAAUCACAAAUUUAUGACCAAAUUGCCCCUAUUUUAAUCACCAAAAAAUGUCUGACGGCAAAUUAAGGUCCUCAAUAGAGAUUAACUUGAUUAUUUUGGGUCCUUAUUUGAUAUAAAAUUCACUUCGGGUCCUUAUUUAAAACAAUGGGUCCACUUUGGGUCCUUAUAUGACACAAAGUUCACUUUGGGUCGUUAUUUGAGAAAAUAAAUUCAUUUCGGGUCCUUAUUUGAAAUUUUCUCUUAAAUGCACCGGUCACAUAUUCACUCUUAAUAUAGGCUAUGUGGCACUAACACGGACACGCGACACGCGACACGACACGACACGACACACUGACAUGUCAUUUCUUAAAAAUAGAGAAUUUCGACACAUUCCGACACGUUAUAAAUUAAAUAUAUUUUUAUAUAUAAUUACAUAAAUAAAUAAUAAUAAAAACAACAGAGAAUUAAUUUACACGAAGAAUAUUAAAUAAUAUCAUUCAUUAUUUUAAUUUGUUACAAUAAUACACAAAACUUAGAGGAAAAAAACAUAAUAAAGCAAUUCUAAAAGACUUUUAAAUAAUAUCAUUCAUUAUCGUAUAUAGAAUUUUUUAUUACUUCUUUCAUAAUAAAAGACUUUUAAAAAAAAUAAAACAAUUCUAAAAAAACAAAACUGAAAAAAAAAAAAUUGACCCCAUGCGUGUAUAUUUAUAGCAAUUUUAUUACUUCUUUUAUUACUUCUUUUGUGUAUAUUUAUAUUUUGACCCCUCAAGUAUUAGAAAUUUUUAAAAUUGACCCCGUGCGUGUCGGAAUCGCGUGUCGGAAUUCUGGACUCGCGUGUCAGAGCGUGUCGAAGAGAGUUGACCAUGUGUCGGAUUUUUCGACACUCAUUGACUGUGUGUCGGAGCGUGUCGGGACGUGUCGGAGCGUGUCGGACACGUGUCGGAGUGUCGGACACGACACGAAGGCUUCCGGAGAGUGUCCGUGCUACAUAGAAUAUAGGCACAGCACUACAAUUGAUAAAGCACGUCAUUCCGGGUGCUACUGCUAGUAGCAUACGACGACAUGGUUGUCAAAAUUGUGGUUCAGAUUGUACGAUCAAUGACAUACGAUCCCAAAUCUACUAAACGAUCCCUAUCACACAGAAAAGGGGUUAGAGAUAAAAAAAAAAAAAAAAAACCAUUUUAGAUUGCCCGUCAAGAUCUUAAAAUUUUAUUCCUGAACGUUAAAUCACAAAAGUAGCCAAUACAAAAAUUAAAUUUGGGCCAAAAUUAGUAAUGCCCAGCCUAAAAUAUUUAAUCCGAAACUCCAGAUAUCGCCUAAGCGACAAAUCUGUUGGUAGUACUAAUAAUGAUUUUGUGAUUGAUAAUGAAUUCGAUGAGGAAGGCCGACGAGCCAGUUACAAUCUCAAUCAAGAUGUCGAGAUGACAGCUGAUGAUUUAUUCUAGAUAAGUUUUUUUUAUGCCUUUUUAUGUCAUACUAAUAAAUUUUCUUCAUUUGUUUUGUUUUGUGUUUUUUAACUGUUUGAUACGAAAAUGACAUUAUUGAACUAUAAUGUAAUUUAAAAUAGCGGCAGUGAAAUUUUCCAGUGCAGACCUAUUUUUUAUACCACUAAGGUCUUGUUCAAUUUAUUUAUGACUUACGAUAAGGUGGGAGGUCUUGUAGAUUAGGUGGUGAUUAUACUAAAAUAGGGAUUUUAAAAAGUCUGUACGGCAAUCCAGAAGCCGAAAAUAUCGAGGCUCUGCUGAAUGUCGCAAUGAAGAAUUAGUUCUAAACAUUCAUUUCGACAUUCUGACAUUGAGAUGGGUGUUAUACCUUCCGAAGUCGGACAUGAGUUGAGAAUUUCGUUGGGUCAAGUGUCAACGCAUGAAAAUGUUGCCGCGAUUUUAAUUGUUUUUCUCCGAUUCAGAAAACUCGGCAGAUUAGAAACUUUAUAGCAGAUGGCUAUACAGAAUGCCGUGAAAACGAAAUGACCGUGUACAAACAAAGAUGAUACUAUUCCCAUAUUCUACGUACUGCUCUCUACCUUAUUUUCUUGUCAAGUAGUGACAACUUGAUCUUGUUGAGCUUAACUAUGAUAGUUUUCAUGUCCAUUCUUUCCUCAGGCAAGUCCUUCGAGCAUUCUAAUCCUAACUCUAGGAUCGAUAAAACUAUACUCUCGAGUUCCGGAGGCGUCAAAUCUUCAAGUUUC
rnacentral:lncRNA from 1 species